UGCCAGACUCCUACGGGAGGCAGCAGUGGGGAAUAUUGCACAAUGGGGGAAACCCUGAUGCAGCGACGCCGCGUGAGCGAUGAAGUAUUUCGGUAUGUAAAGCUCUAUCAGCAGGGAAGAAAAUGACGGUACCUGACUAAGAAGCCCCGGCUAACUACGUGCCAGCAGCCGCGGUAAUACGUAGGGGGCAAGCGUUAUCCGGAUUUACUGGGUGUAAAGGGAGCGUAGACGGCUGUGCAAGCCAGAUGUGAAAGCCCGGGGCUCAACCCCGGGACUGCAUUUGGAACUGUGUGGCUGGAGUGUCGGAGAGGCAGGCGGAAUUCCUAGUGUAGCGGUGAAAUGCGUAGAUAUUAGGAGGAACACCAGUGGCGAAGGCGGCCUGCUGGACGAUGACUGACGUUGAGGCUCGAAAGCGUGGGGAGCAAACAGGAUUAGAUACCCUAGUAC
rnacentral:rRNA from 1 species